GUGAAAUAAGAACAAUAUUAUUGAAUUUAGGAGACCAGACAUUGUGCAACAUAAUCUUUUGUCAUUCCUGCAGUGGCAGCAGGGGCCUUCCCUGCUGUAACGCUGCAAAGAAAUUCUCUAACAAUGGCGCUACUGGGUCUGGCCACUUGCUUAUUCCACAACUCCUCUUCUUUCCUGUUUCCGCGGUUCAGGAAUACUUGAGUGGCAUCAAUCCGAUGAAUGUUCCAACCCUUUACAUUUUUCAACCGACGGAUUUUUUCCAAUUGGCGACGAGCUAACUUG
rnacentral:misc_RNA from 1 species